CGAGAGUACAGCCAAUGGAACGCGACUCCGGCAACACACCCGCCCUGAUCCACUAGGAACAAACCGCUCAGAGCGCAGAGGUGGGACCUGAUCCUGGCGCCGCGAGCAAGUUAAGUCCAGCCGGAGCCAUGUCGCUAAGAAGAAGCACCUGUGGUACCUGCACAGGGACUGACAGAACCAAAGACAGUGAGGAGUGGUUGCCUGGACUCUGCUGAUGGAUGAAAAAGCACCCAACUGAGGCUGAGCCAUCUGAGAGUGGAGUGUUCACAAGGAUAGUACCUUUUCUGGGUGCUUCUGAUGCUGUGUCUCCUUGCUGGAGGAGGAGUUGUGUGCUGAGCUGGGCAGGCAUGUUACUCAUUGGUUCACCAAGCUGUGGCUAGGAGUCCCUGUUGCUUUGGAAGUCCUACAGGCAAUCCAAACAGUGUUGAAGGGGCCCUACUUCUUCAAAGAAGACAUGAGGCAAAGAACCCAAAAGAAGAUGGCUUGACAGAUGCACAAGGGGGCGCACGCAUCUGGAGUUUGUUUGCAGAGGCUGGAAGCCCUGGCGCGCCCAUUCUCUC